UCCGAGUUGACCCCGGCAGUCUCCUGCGAGUCCCCGCCAUUACGCGCUGGCAACACAGGACAAGGGUUGCGCUCGUUGCGGGACUUAACCCGACACUUCACAGCACGAGCUGACGACAGCCAUGCAGCACUUGUGCUUGUUCCACCCUUGCGGGUGUGGCUCCUGUUUCCAGGAGUUAAUCCAAGCAUGUCAAGCCCAGGUAAGGUUCUUCGCGUUGCUUCGAAUUAAGCAACAUGCUCCACCGCUUGUGUGAGCCCCCGUCAAUUCCUUUGAGUUUUAGCCUUGCGACCGUACUCCCCAGGCGGCACACUUAUCAAUUUCUCUGCGACCAAUACGACGUCAGAGCCGCAUCGGUCUAGUGUGCAUCGUUUAGGGCGUGGACUAC
rnacentral:misc_RNA from 1 species